GAUGAACGCUGGCGGCGUGCUUAACACAUGCAAGUCGAACGAAGCACUUUUGAUUCUUCGGAAGAGGAAGUGACUGAGUGGCGGACGGGUGAGUAACGCGUGGGUAACCUGCCUUAUACAGGGGGAUAACAGUUAGAAAUGACUGCUAAUACCGCAUAAGCCGAUAGAGUCGCAUGACUUAGUCGGACAAGAUUUAUCGGUAUAAGAUGGACCCGCGUCUGAUUAGCCAGUUGGUGAGGUAAUGGCCCACCAAGGCGACGAUCAGUAGCCGGCUUGAGAGAGUGAACGGCCACAUUGGGACUGAGACACGGCCCAAACUCCUACGGGAGGCAGCAGUGGGGAAUAUUGCACAAUGGGGGAAACCCUGAUGCAGCAACGCCGCGUGAAGGAAGAAGUAUUUCGGUAUGUAAACUUCUAUCAGCAGGGAAGAAAAUGACGGUACCUGACUAAGAAGCCCCGGCUAACUACGUGCCAGCAGCCGCCGUAA
rnacentral:rRNA from 1 species